AGAUUAGUGAGUAAUCACCUUUUGAAUUCAUGGGUUAGGAAGAUUAAGGGUGAUUAGGUUAGAACUAGGAUGUUUUAGUGUAGAUCAUUCAUAUUUCCUUGCUAGUUGAGUGAGUAUAAUGCAUCUUCUGAGUUGGCCACUCAGUAGUUGAUCCUUAGGCAUUUCCCCCCGAAAGGUGUUCGAGGAAAUGCCCGAGACAGCUCUUCUUAGCUUUUAGCAUACUUUGCCAAAGACAUUUGUUGUUAGAGGUGCUAAGAUAGCCAUUGGACUUGCUAGUUAUGAUUGCUUUCAUAUUAUUCAACCAAAGACAUUUGAUGUUUGAAUUGUGUUAAGUAAAUGAACAUUCAUCUAGACAUAGAGUUUGUUUAGGAUUGUGUCCAAGCUUAAGGUUAAUAGAUUGAUUGAUCGUUUGCCAUCUUUAGUUCGAAACUUGAUCACCC
rnacentral:lncRNA from 1 species